AAAAUCUGCCUAUCAGAGGGGAAUAACAGUGAGAAAUCAUUGCUAAUACCGCAUAUGCCAUAGGGUUCGCAUGAACCUAGUGGGAAAGGAGCAAUCCGCUGAUAGAUGAGCUUGCGUCUGAUUAGCUAGUUGGUGGGGUAAUGGCCUACCAAGGCAACGAUCAGUAGCCGGACUGAGAGGUUGAACGGCCACAUUGGGACUGAGAUACGGCCCAGACUCCUACGGAAGGCAGCAG
rnacentral:rRNA from 1 species